UACGUAGGGUGCGAGCGUUAAUCGGAAUUACUGGGCGUAAAGCGUGCGCAGGCGGUUCGUUAAGUUCGAUGUGAAAGCCCCGGGCUCAACCUGGGAAUUGCAUUGGAAACUGGCGGGCUUGAGUGUGGCAGAGGGGGGUGGAAUUCCACGUGUAGCAGUGAAAUGCGUAGAGAUGUGGAGGAACACCAAUGGCGAAGGCAGCUUGCUGGGACGGUACUGACGCUGAGGCGCGAAAGCGUGGGGAGCAAACAGG
rnacentral:rRNA from 1 species